rnacentral:rRNA from 1 species
CUGGUUGGUGGGGUAACGGCCUACCAGGCGAAUGAUCAGUAGCUGGUCUGAGAGGAUGAUCAGCCACACUGGGACUGAGACACGGCCCAGACUCCUACGGGAGGCAGCAGUGGGGAAUAUUGGACAAUGGGCGAAAGCCUGAUCCAGCAAUGCCGCGUGGAUGAAGAAGGUCUUCGGAUUGUAAAGUCCUUUCGGCGGGGACGAUGAUGACGGUACCCGCAGAAGAAGCCCCGGCUAACUUCGUGCCAGCAGCCGCGGUAAUACGAAGGGGGCUAGCGUUGCUCGGAAUUACUGGGCGUAAAGGGCGCGUAGGCGGACCACUCAGUCAGGCGUGAAAGCCCCGGGCUCAACCUGGGAACUGCGCUUGAGACUUGUGGUCUUGAGGGCGAGAGAGGGUGGUGGAAUUCCCAGUGUAGAGGUGAAAAUUCGUAGAUAUUGGGAAGAACACCGGUGGCGAAGGCGGCCACCUGGCUCGCAUCUGACGCUGAGGCGCGAAAGCGUGG